ensembl:snRNA U2 U2 spliceosomal RNA
AUCGCUUCUCAGCCUUUUGGCUAAGAUCAAGUGUAGUAUAUCCCUAGUGACUAGGAUAGAACCUGGCAUACAGUAAUGACUUUGUAAAUAUCUGAUUAAAAAUAUAUUUCUGUCAUUAUAUAAGAAGAUGAGUGUGAUGAAGACUUUCUUGUAGACUAUUCUAUUCAUUAUAAGAAAUUAAGUUGAACAAUC